GCAGGAUGCAGGCCUGCCUUCCUGCUCGGAUUUCUGAGAUACAUUCAGCAACAAGGAUGUAUGCCUUGGUGAACUGCAGAGAUAGGCAAAGAACCUACGGGUCCCAGUACCUAGGGGUAUGAAAUGAGCAAUGCACCUAUAAAGAAAUCAUGCUGGACUGAACUCUGCCUUCAAGACAGCUACGGCAACAGAGAAGUAGCAAGGCACUGCUCUGCAUGUCCAAAUAUAAUAAAGAAGAGUUAAAAGACCUGGACAAUACGUACUUGACAGGAUAUUUGGUUCACAGAUUCAUGGCAAACAUAUCAAGGCUAUUUUCUUCUAACCAUGCUCCUGUGACUUGGAAUCCAGCAGCUAUCCUAGACAAGGCAAGAAGUGAACAUGAACUACGUG
rnacentral:lncRNA from 1 species